rnacentral:lncRNA from 1 species
GCCAACAAAGGCUCAGCCACCUCAGCUGUGCCUCUGCCGCUUGGACGGCUCACCAGCCAGCCUCUGAAGCAGAUCAUGCCAUCCUUUCCUUUUUAAAACCCAUGUCAUCACCAGAUCAUAACGGAAAUCAAUCUCCUCAAACCAUCAUGCAAAGGCAAAGGCGUAUCCAUAGCAACCCCAAAGGAAGGACACAGAGAUGCUCCAGUGGCUGCAGCAAAAAAAAGAGGUUAUCCUUAUCUGUUUAAAUACAGUACAAGAAGACAGGCUUUGACAGCACAGUAGGCUAAGGACGCCAAUUUCUGACACAGUUCUUCCAUUCUCAGUACCUUUUAAGUACACCAGGGUAACAAGGGGCCAGCAGCCGCUUGCAGCUCUCUGCGCUGCUGUAAAUGGAUUUCAGUCUAAAGACCUGCCUCUUUGAAAACAGCAAUUUCGCAUCUGUGUGCUUUAGCUGUCGUCCUGCUCAGUUACGAGAGGUGUGUGUACAAGACGACUACACAAGGAUCGUUUUGUAAGCCUAGUUGGACCCCAGGACAAGGCGUACUCACACAUCAAACGCAUUUCCAGACCCUCCACGUCUGAACCCUCUAGGAUUAAUUUUUGUCUUCGUUUAACACAAAUUCCUAAACACGUGCCCACAGAAAGCCUGCGCUCACUACGGUGUCACAGUAAGCAGGGGCCCCUCGCAAAUCUGAAGGAGAGUGGGCAAGCCU